GACGAACCGUGCGAACGUUAUUCGGAAUCACUGGGCGUAAAGGGCGCGUAGGCGGCUCAUGAAGGCUGUGGUGAAAGUCCGGGGCUCAACCUCGGAUCGGCCGUGGCGACUCGUGGGCUGGAGCACUGUAGAGGCGGGUGGAAUUCCGGGUGUAGCGGUGGAAUGCGUAGAGAUCCGGAAGAACACCAGUGGCGAAGGCGGCCCGCUGGGCAGUGGCUGACGCUGAGGCGCGACAGCGUGGGGAGCAAACAGG
rnacentral:rRNA from 1 species